ensembl:lncRNA
GUUUAUUAAAUAUAUCAGUAUAUUUACAGUUAACAUUUCUGUCUUCCAGUUAACUCCAUUCCCCAUUUUGGAUGAUGACUGCAGUGCAUUUUAGGAUUUCUUUAAUCAGAAUGGACCAUGAAGAUGAAUACAUGCAACGCUGGCUCAGAAUCGGGCCAAAAUUAGGACUUCAUGACAUCUUAUCAUGUCAGCUGGGCACGAAAGCAUUGACUGAAAUGGACACUGGUAGUACACAGGGUGCCCGGUCCCUGCCUGGUGCUUCUGCAAUUUCUACAUCUCAUGUUUAGGGACAAUGAGCCAUUGUGCGGCAGUUAUUCAAUCCUGUGCAGCUUGCGAGCUUUGACAGUGAGUGAUCACAUAAAAUGAUGUCACUGCAAAUGCUUGUAAGCCAAGUACAAAGGAGCACCUUAGAUACUGAUCUGUGGCCAGAUUAAUGUGAGGGAACACUGAAGAAUUCAGAGGAAGUCUGUAACAAAAGUCACAGACGCAUUGAUUUUACAGAAUAAGGCAAUUUUGUCCAUUUAAAAGAUAUAUGGAUUGGAAGACUGCUGUUCUGCAGUGAUUUUACUGCAUGUUUUAAUAGGAAAGAAGAAGUUUUGACACCCAGGCUCACACAGAAUUUGCAUCUACGGAACUCGGAAUGCCUGAUUUCCAGAAAGUUCUACAAAUCCCAAGACCCUUGCGUUUUCAUGUAUUGAAUAUUUGACUAAUUUGAUUAUGCUUUCAGC